GCCCCGAUUCGCGGGUCGCUACCUCUACGGGAAUAUAGUAACGCUUCAACUUUAGAAAAAAAGGACCAGAAGAUCCAAGUGUAUCAGGAGUUCCCAUAGGAAGAUACAACUGUAAGAUUUUUAUAAAACUCAAUAAAGUAAAACUGAUGAAGUACGAACUUGGACCUUAACAACCGAUUCGUCACGAACUUUAAACUUCCCUCGCACACAUUCAGACAUCAUUAACCGUCACGUUUGUACUAGUCGGAUAACUACUACAUCAUGAAUUAUACUACUAAUAGAUCAAAUGAACAACAUAAAAUAACGCGUAUCAUCUGGUGGUACGUAGUGGUUGGUCCAUUUUUACAAUGUAGUCCCCCGAAAGUACUCGAUUAACGUGUUAAGAAAUUCGAUACGAGACUUGCAAUCACCGGAAUAAAUUCGAAACAUCCAACGUCACAUUACACUUCUAAGGUUCCCUAUAGUUCGAAAUUUAACCCUAGUAAACGUUUCGUCUUUAUAUCUCUAGCUGUAGACUACCCUUCCUUGUACAGCUUAUAUUGCCGGUUUGUUCCUUCCCUGUACUCCGACAUUAUAGUAAAAGCAAGAGUAAAGAACAUCCUUC
rnacentral:rRNA from 1 species